CUUGGGGUUUCGCUGACGAUUGUUUUUACUGUUGAGUAAUGUCUGGGAAACUGCCUGAUGGAGGGGGAUAACUACUGGAAACGGUAGCUAAUACCGCAUAACGUCGCAAGACCAAAGAGGGGGACCUUCGGGCCUCUUGCCAUCGGAUGUGCCCAGAUGGGAUUAGCUAGUAGGUGGGGUAACGGCUCACCUAGGCGACGAUCCCUAGCUGGUCUGAGAGGAUGACCAGCCACACUGGAACUGAGACACGGUCCAGACUCCUACGGGAGGCAGCAGUGGGGAAUAUUGCACAAUGGGCGCAAGCCUGAUGCAGCCAUGCCGCGUGUAUGAAGAAGGCCUUCGGGUUGUAAAGUACUUUCAGCGGGGAGGAAGGCGAUAAGGUUAAUAACCUUGUCGAUUGACGUUACCCGCAGAAGAAGCACCGGCUAACUCCGUGCCAGCAGCCGCGGUAAUACGGAGGGUGCAAGCGUUAAUCGGAAUUACUGGGCGUAAAGCGCACGCAGGCGGUCUGUCAAGUCGGAUGUGAAAUCCCCGGGCUCAACCUGGGAACUGCAUUCGAAACUGGCAGGCUAGAGUCUUGUAGAGGGGGGUAGAAUUCCAGGUGUAGCGGUGAAAUGCGUAUAGAUCUGGAGGAAUACCGGUGGCGAAGGCGGCCCCCUGGACAAAGACGGACGCUC
rnacentral:rRNA from 1 species